UACGUAGGGUCCGAGCGUUGUCCGGAAUUAUUGGGCGUAAAGAGCUCGUAGGCGGCUUGUCGCGUCGACUGUGAAAACCCGCGGCUUAACUGCGGGACUGCAGUCGAUACGGGCUAGCUAGAGUUCGGUAGGGGAGACUGGAAUUCCUGGUGCAGCGGUGAAAUGCGUAGAUAUCAGGAGGAACACCGGUGGCGAAGGCGGCUAUCUGGACAGAGUCUGACGCUGAGGCGCGAAAGCCAGGGGAGCAAACGGG
rnacentral:rRNA from 1 species